rnacentral:rRNA from 1 species
CAAGAGGAAUUCGGAGACAGGUGCUGCAUGGCUGUCGUCAGCUCGUGUCGUGAGAUGUUGGGUUAAGUCCCGCAACGAGCGCAACCCUUGUCUUUAGUUGCCAUCAUUAAGUUGGGCACUCUAAAGAGACUGCCGGUGUCAAACCGGAGGAAGGUGGGGAUGACGUCAAGUCCUCAUGGCCUUUAUGACCAGGGCUACACACGUACUACAAUGGCAGGUACAAAGGGCAGCCACUUAGCGAUAAGGCGCGAAUCCCGUAAAACCUGUCUCAGUCCGGAUUGGAGUCUGCAACUCGACUUCAUGAAGGCGGAAUCGCUAGUAACCGCGAAUCAGCAGGUCGCGGUGAAUACGUUCCCGGGCCUU